AGAAAUUAAAAAAAUAAAGUAAACCACCACAAUUUCUCCAAUUAGGUUUACACUAAACCAAAAAAAAAAACACUAUUCCUAAAAUACAAAGGAACACUCCAGCCGCCCUCCUCCAUGUGCGCCUGGCCUCCUCCAGCCUUGACAGGAGACGUCGUCGUCUCUGCUUCCGGCCUCAGGGUCUCCUCCACUACAGUUUUUGUGCCUUCUCCGACGCAGCUUCCGAGGCUUCACCAUCUCCGCGUCCAUUGAAGUCAAAGGAGAGUCGAGAUGAAGCGAGGAGAGUCUAGCAGAGGCGAGGAGAUUCUAGCAGAGGCGAGUCGAGUCGAAAAGAGGCGAGGUGGUAAGCUUCCGGAGCUUGAGACGAUGUGAACUUCAUGGCAGGGAGAAGCAAUUCGAUCUGGAAAAAAAACAGAGAGCAGAGAAAUUAGAUUUAAAAAACUGCAUAAUGAGAGAAAGAAGAGAAGAUGACAAAGGUGUGAAGAGAAAGAGAGAUCGAUUGAGAGACCAGAUUUUUCACGGAAAGAGGGAAGAGGAGGAGAUGGAAGAAAAAAUUUUGAUUUAAAUUUUAAAAGUUCAACUUUGUGAUUGGUAUUUAGGUAUUAGAAAAUAGAGUUAAGAGUUUAUGAAAUAGAGUUUAGCAUUUAAAUUUAAAAAUUGAAGUUUUGAAAACAGAUGUAAAAUUUAAAUUUAAGAUUUAGAUUUAAAAUAAAUUUUGAUUAUAUCAUUUUUUUUAAUAUAUAGGCACUUUCUUAGCCAAUAACAUGCUCAUCAUAUCUUCUAAACUUUUACAAUUUUUUUUGUUAAUUGAUUUUCUAUCUUUGGGAAAGUUAUAUAAAAUUUUGAUUUAUAGUUAUAUUUAAUUUAUAUCUUGGAUAAUAAAAAAUUUAUAUAUCAAGCUUUUGAAUUUUUUAACAUAAAAAUUAAAAUAUUAAUUUAAAUUGAGUAGAUAUGAUACUGACGUGUUUGAUUUUUAUAUAAGGUUAAAAUAGAUAUUAAAAGUUUGGAUAUAGUGUAUGAAGUUAAGGUUUUUUUAAAAUUUUGAAAAAUUAUAAACUUAAUAAGGGCUUGAACCUUUUAAUAUUUUGUUACUUUUGUAAGUAAGAGUUAGAACAUAAUUAGGGUUAGAAGCUUGGAUAUAGGGUUUGAAAUUUAAAAUAAACUUAGUGUUUUAUGAUAUGACAAAGGUGUGAAGAGAAAGAGAGAUCGAUUGAGAGACCAGAUUUUUCACGGAAAGAGGGAAGAGGAGGAGAUGGAAGAAAA
rnacentral:lncRNA from 1 species